ACUUCCCGGUUGGGGCGCCGAGCUCCGGAGUCGGCCGCCAGCCUUUGGGCCCCACGCUCCGGGUCUGGUGCGCGGUCUGGCCGCGCUCGGGCCCUCGCCAAAUGAGAGCGCAGCGCCUCUCCGCCUUCGGAUCCAGAGAAAGAGCUUGUUGCUGCCUCUAAAAGGGAAAUUGACUCGACUCGGAACUCGAGGACCUUUCACAAGAGACCACUGGGUUAGGGGGCAGAGCUGGUAAUAGAAUCCAGCGCUCCGAACCCUGAAUCAUGUCCUCUUUUUGCUGCUGAGGCUCAGGCCACAGCACCCCAAAUUAUGACUGUAGAAUACCAAAAUAUGCUAUCCCAAAAUACACUUGUUUGGCACAUUUCAAGCUGGUUAUUCUGAGAAACUGCAGACACGGGAGUAGCUCUGAAAAGCUGUCCUUUUGUAAAGCAAAUUUACAUCUAUAAAGGAAGUCCACAUAGUAAAAGUAUCUGUGUCAGGAAGGCAGCUG
rnacentral:lncRNA from 10 species